rnacentral:rRNA from 1 species
AUGGCCGGAAUUGUCAACAAGGAGUUUCCUGAGUUGGCCCACACAGGGCUGAACUACCUGUCAUGGUCCUCGGACUGCGAGAUCUUUCUCCAGGGCAGAACCCUCCUGAGGGCGACUAGUAAGGGGGCCCAGCUGGUCGCCACUGAUCCCAAGUUUGAAACUGAGAAUGCGCAGGCUGUGCACUUUCUCCGUCAUCACCUGUCACCUACUCUGAAAGAUGAGUAUAUGGCUGAGCGCAGUGCUUCUGGCCUUUGGACCGCUCUUAAGCAGCGGUUUGAGCGGCUGAAGUACACUGUGAAGCCACGUGCAGAGGCAGAGUGGAUCCGUCUGAGGUUUGCGUACUUCAAGACGAAGAUUGAGAAAACCCUAUCCGCCUUCCACCCUAACACGGUUCAGUCCUCACGGAACUACCACCAGGGGAACUACACGAGGUAUUUAGAGUUGAUUGACGUACUCCAGGUGGCUGAGGCGCAGGAUGAAGUUCUCAAAAAGAACUUUGUCGCGCAACCACUUGGGGGGAGUUCUCGCCAGGAGGUGAACGCUCUCAACAUCCACAAGCCUCAACAAAAGAAGAGGGGCCGCAAGGGCAAGAAUAAGGACCCUCAUCCCCCCCCCCCGCCCCAGCUAAGGAACAAGCUGGGCUCGGUGGAGCAUUUCUCCCGCCAGUGCCGUGCACCACCAGAGGUCGUUGAAGCAUACAAGGCCCGGAAGACGCGUGAGACACACCUCGCCUUGGUUCAGGAGGGAGCACCACCGGCGCCCAUGGCGACACUCGUGAUGAUCUCUACGCCCCCUGCUGCGCCUAUAGAGGCGACCCCCGUGGUGCCCAUCGCGGCAGCGUUGGCGGUCUCUACCAACGCACACGUCGCCAUGGAGGUUGACCACAUGGUCGCCUCGGCGGUGCCGCCACUAGACAUUGAUGCUGCCUCCAAGAUGAUUUCUAAGGAGGAUCAGCUCACUAGUAUGGAGAUUGCGGCUGAAGUGAAUGGCUUCUUCACCGAGUCCACUUAG